GGAAGAAGGAACGGGCAACGGUAGGUCAAUAUGCCCCGAAUGAGCUGGGCAACCCGCGGGCUACAAUGGCCGGGACAAUGGGAAGCCACCCCGAAAGGGGGCGCUAAUCUCCUAAACCUGGUCGUAAUUCGGAUUGAGGGCUGAAACUCCCCCUCAUGAAGCUGGAUUCCGUAGUAAUCGCGUUUCAAAAGAGCGCGGCGAAUACCUUCCUGCUCCUUGCACAAACUCCCUGCUCC
rnacentral:rRNA from 1 species